AUUGAACGCUGGCGGCAUGCCUUACACAUGCAAGUCGAACGGCAGCGGGGGAGAAGCUUGCUUUUCCUGCCGGCGAGUGGCGAACGGGUGAGUAAUACAUCGGAACGUGCCCUGUAGUGGGGGAUAACUAGUCGAAAGAUUAGCUAAUACCGCAUACGACCUGAGGGUGAAAGUGGGGGACCGCAAGGCCUCAUGCUAUAGGAGCGGCCGAUGGCUGAUUAGCUAGGUGGUGGGGUAAAGGCCUACCAAGGCGACGAUCAGUAGCUGGUCUGCACGGACGAUCAGCCACACUGGUACAGGGACACGGCCCAGCCUCCUACGGGAGGCAGCAGUGGGGAAUUUUGGGCAAUGGGCGAAAGCCUGAUCCAGCAAUGCCGCGUGUGUGAAGAAGGCCUUCGGGUUGUAAAGCACUUUUGUCCGGAAAGAAAUGGCUCUGGUUAAUACCUGGGGUCGAUGACGGUACCGGAAGAAUAAGGACCGGCUAACUACGUGCCAGCCGCCGCAGUAA
rnacentral:rRNA from 1 species